rnacentral:tRNA from 1 species
GCCUGCCUGGCUCAGUUGGUAGAGCAUGUGACUCUUGAUUUCGGGGUCAUGGGUUCAAUUCCCAUAUUAGGCA